GAAAUGCGAUAAGUAAUGUGAAUUGCAGAAUUCAGUGAAUCAUCGAAUCUUUGAACGCACCUUGCGCUCCUUGGUAUUCCUUGGAGCAUACCUGUUUGAGUAUCAUGAAAUCUUCAAAGUAAAUCUUUUGUUAACUCAAUUGGUUUCUACUUUGGUAUUGGAGGUCUUUGCAGCUUCACACCUGCUCCUCUUUGUUCAUUAGCUGGAUCUCAGUGUUAUGCUUGGUUCCACUCGGCGUGAUAAGUUAUCUAUCGCUGAGGACACUGUAAAAGGUGGCCAAGGUAAAUGCAGAUGAACCGCUUCUAAUAAUCCAUUGACUUGGACAAUACUUUUAUGAUCUGAUCUCAAAUCAGGUAGGACUACCCGCUGAACUUAAGC
rnacentral:misc_RNA from 1 species